rnacentral:rRNA from 1 species
UACGAGGGGGGCGAGCGUUGUUCGGAAUUAUUGGGUUUAAAGGGUGCGUAGGCGGCCUAUUAAGUCAGGGGUGAAAGACGGUAGCUUAACUAUCGCAGUGCCUUUGAUACUGAUGGGCUUGAAUGUACUUGAGGUAGGCGGAAUGUGACAAGUAGCGGUGAAAUGCAUAGAUAUGUCACAGAACACCAAUUGCGAAGGCAGCUUACUAAAGUAUGAUUGACGCUGAGGCACGAAAGCGUGGGGAUCAAACAGG